AGAGUUUGAUCAUGGCUCAGAACGAACGCUGGCGGCAGGCUUAACACAUGCAAGUCGAACGCCCCGCAAGGGGAGUGGCGCACGGGUGAGUAACGCGUGGAUAUCUGCCUCUUGGUUCGGAAUAACCCCGGGAAACUGGGGCUAAUACCGGAUGGUUCCUACGGGAUAAAGAUUUAUCGCCAAAAGAUGAGUCCGCGUACGAUUAGCUAGUUGGUGAGGUAAUGGCUCACCAAGGCGACGACCGUUAGCUGGUCUGAGAGGACGAUCAGCCACACUGGGACUGAGACACGGCCCAGACUCCUACGGGAGGCAGCAGUGGGGAAUAUUGGACAAUGGGGGCAACCCUGAUCCAGCCAUGCCGCGUGAGUGAUGAAGGCCUUCGGGUUGUAAAGCUCUUUUGGCGGGGACGAUGAUGACGGUACCCGCAGAAUAAGCCCCGGCUAACUUCGUGCCAGCAGCCGCGGUAAGACGAAGGGGGCUAGCGUUGUUCGGAAUUACUGGGCGUAAAGCGAGUGUAGGCGGUUGCCGUAGUCAGGUGUGAAAGCCUUGAGCUCAACUCAAGAAAUGCACUUGAUACUCGGUGGCUAGAGUACCGGAGAGGAUAGUGGAAUUCCCAGUGUAGUGGUGAAAUACGUAGAGAUUGGGAAGAACACCAGUGGCGAAGGNGGCUAUCUGGACGGUUACUGACGCUAAGACUCGAAAGCGUGGGGAGCAAACAGGAUUAGAUACCCUGNAGUCCACGCCGUAAACGAUGGGUGCUAGACGUUGGCGAGCUUGNUCGUCAGUGUCGCAGCUAACGCGUUNAGCACCCCGCCUGGGGAGUANGGCCGC
rnacentral:rRNA from 1 species